UGACUUGUGAUCUGAACCGUGGAGCUCACGUGUUCAGAAUGAACAUCACCUCACUGGAGUUCAAGGCUCUGCAACUCGUACGUGCUUCAGAAUCCCUGGGAAGCUAAACGUUAAGAUCCUUUUGAAGUCUGAACUCUGGCUGACAGAACGUAAGAGGGACAGAAGAAGAUCUUCCUGCUAUAAUGCCAGGGCCCAGUACCCACACUGGGGGCCUGUGGUGCCCAAGGUGUCUCCAGCCAGGCCUAUGCCUGAGAGUUAAGAGAGGACACAGCAACAAGUUGGCGCCAUGUCUAUUUCCUCUUGGGAUCCAUGGUGCCUACGCAGAGUCUGGCCCAGAGCAAGGAUUAAGGGUCUUGGCCGAAAAAAAGUGAAGCUUAUUUUAAGCAAGAACUUAAAACAGACUCUCACCUAAGGACCACCACCCAGGCGAGGGCUUCUUGGGCCAUUAACAUCCUUGACCUCAAAGAUGGAAAUUGCAAGAUGGGAGACUGAGAGUGCCGUUCAAGGUUCCCUAAUGUGAGCCAUUGGAGACAUGGCUGGGAUCAACUUUAACCUAUCUCUGCUCAAAAGGUGUCAACCUUGUCCACAUCAGCCAGGAUGUCAAGGUGGAGAGGAUAGAAAUUCCGGAUCUGGCUGAGUCUAGUGCCCACCAGAGAAAACUUUGGCCUUUAAUCUGGGAUUUUUACAUCAUUUUCUUCUCUAACAGAGGGAGAGAGAGGGGCAUGAGUUGGGUCCACCAAUUGGGACAAGCAGGUCCAACCUGCUUCUCU
rnacentral:lncRNA from 1 species